CCCGCGGCUUAUUUUUAGCACACGGAGGUGCCUCACAAAGUUUCGCGCCAUUCCGAGUCUGGCGGACGAAGUCGGCCAGCCUCACCCCCCAAGGCUAUAGCCCACCCGUUUUUGUGGCCUUUUUCCGCUGGACGAACUUGGCGCCCCGGCCUUCGGGCGGUUAUUUUUGGGUGCAGCUGUGCCCGUAGCCUUUUUUUCGUACACGGAGGCACCUCGCAAAGUCCCGUGCCAUUCCGAUUCCGGCGGACGAAGUUGGCCAGCCCCACCCCCCAAGGCUAUAGCCCACCCGUUUUUGUGGGCUUUUUCCGCUGGACGAACUUGGCGCCCCGACCUUCGGGCGGUUAUUUUUGGGCGCGGCGACGGAGGCACCUCGUAAAGUCCCGCGCCAUUCCGAGUCCGGCGGACGAAGUUGGCCAGCCCCACCCCCCAAGGCUAUAGCCCACCCGUUUUUGUGGCCUUUUUCCGCUGGACGAACUUGGCGCCCCGGCCUUCGGGCAGUUAUUUUUGGGUGCGGCAGUGCCCGCGGCCUAUUUUUGGUACACGGAGGUGCCUCGCAAAGUCUCGCCCCAUUCCGAGUCAGGCAGACGAAGUUGGCCAGCCCCACCCCCCAAGGCUAUAGCCCACCCGUUUUUGUGGGCUUUUUCCGCUGGACAAACUUGGUGCCCCGGCCUUCGGGCGGUUAUUUUUGGGCGCGGCUGUGCCCACGGCCUAUUUUUGGCACACGGAGGUGCCUCGCAAAAUCUCGCGCCAUUCCGAGUCCGGCGGACGAAGUUGGCCAGCCCCACCCCCCAAGGCUAGAGCCCACCCGUUUUUGUGGGCUUUUUCCGCUGGACAAACUUGGUGCCCCGGCCUUCGGGCGGUUCUUUUUGGGCUCGGCUGUGCCCGCGGCCUAUUUUUGGCACACAGAGGCACCUUGCAAAAUCUUGCGCCAUUCCGAGUCCGGCGGACGAAGUCGGCCAGCCCCACCCCCCAAGGCUAUAGCCCACCCGUUUUUGUGGCCUUUUUCCGCUGGACGAACAUGGCGCCCCGGCCUUCGGGUGGUUCUUUUUGGGCGCGGCUGUGCCCGCGGCCUAUUUUUGGCACAUCGAGGCACCUUGCAAAAUCUCGCGCCAUUCCGAGUCCGGCGGACGAAGUCGGCCAGCCCCACCCCCCAAGGCUAUAGCCCACCCGUUUUUGUGGCCUUUUUCCGCUGGACGAACUUGGCGCCCCGGCCUUCGGGCGGUUCAUUUUGGGCGCGGCUGUGCCCGUGGCCUAUUUUUGGCACACAGAGGCACCUCGCAAAAUCUCGCGCCAUUCCGAGUCCGGCGGACGAAGUUGGCCAGCCCCACCCCCCAAGGCUAUAGCCCACCCGUUUUUGUGGGAUUUUCCGCUGGACGAACUUGGCGCCCCGGCCUUCGGGCGGUUAUUUUUGGGCGCGGCUGUGCCCGCGGCCUAUUUUUGGCACACGGAGGUACCUCGCAAAGUCUCGCGCCAUUCCGAGUCCGGCGGACGAAGUUGGCCAGCCCCACCCCCCAAGGCUAUAGCCCACCCGUUUUGUCGGCUUUUUCCGCUGGACGAACUUGGCGCCCCGGCCUUCGGGUGGUUAUUUUUGGACACGGCUGUGCCCGCGGCCUAUUUUUGCCACACGGAGGCGCCUCGCAAAGUAUCGCGCCUUUCCGAGUCCGGCGGACGAAGUUGGCCAGCCCCACCCCCCAAGGCUAUAGCCCACCCGUUUUUGUGGCCUUUUUCCGCUGGACGAACUUGCGCCCCGGCCUUCCGGCGGUUAUUUUUGGGUGCGGCUGUGCCCGCGGCCUAUUUUUGGGACAC
rnacentral:lncRNA from 1 species